rnacentral:lncRNA from 1 species
UGGACUUCUCCUUGGCGGCGUCGGCAGUCUCGGUGGCCGUCUUCUUCACGGCCUCCGUCUUCUCGCCGAGAAAGCUGGCCGUCUGGUCUUUGCCCUCGACGGCGCGAUCCUGACCGGCUUGCACCGUCUCGGACACCUUCCCCAUGGCCUCGCCGCCCAUCUUUUUGGCCGCCUCGGUGGUCUCGGAGGCAGCCUUCGUGACAGCCUCGCUUUUCUCGCCAAGGAAGCUGCCGGUCUGGUCUUUUGCCUCGACGGCACGGUCCUGGAUGGACUGCCCCGUCUCGGACGCCAUCUUCGUGGCCUCGCCGGCCUUAACUUGGGUCGUCUCCACCACCUCCCCCGACUUCUCUUGUAACCAGCUAGACAUUUUCUAAGUCGAUGAAGUGUUGGUGCCUAAUAAUUUGUGUUCUUCUUUUCUUGCGCUUGUUGUGGAGAGACGUGUGUUCUUCCUUUAUAUAGGCCAUUUGCCCCCUUUGCCGAGGUUGAUAUUGAGGAGAAUAUUACAUUGCUUUCGAAGUAUCUUGGGCUUAUAUGAGAUAUUUUGUUGCCAUGGUAUAUGUCAUUGUCGCCACUUGUCCAUUCAGGAUUCAGCUGUAUAUAUAUGCACAAUGGUAUGUCGACACAACACAGUUGCUUAAGAUCUGUCCAUUGAUAUGUGCUUUUAAAGACAUUUUUCUGGAGUAACAAAUGUGGUUGAAAAAAUGUAUCGCGACCAAGACGAAAAGACUGCUCAAAAAAUGACCAAGACGAAAAGAAAAACGAAAGAAAUUAAUGUUAAUUUGCUAAUUAAUAGCAUUGCAUGUAAUGAAUUAACUACUGCAUGUCGUCUUAGUUGGUCUUAAGUCAUUAAAAACAUAUACGUCCCACGUCUCUUAUUGGUUGAUUCCUUUAUUCAUGUCAAAAAACAAGAAAUAAGAUGAAAGUUAAUGCCUAGCGCCUAAGUGUUUUGGGAUUAUAUGAUUUUCGUAAAAUGACUUGUACACGAAGACGAAGGGAAUACCAUGUUUUACUCAUUUAUCGUCAGACCUUGAGUUUAACACUUUGUAUUUAUAAAUACGAGAAUGCAAACAACCAAACAAAUAAAAUUCACACCACACAUACAAAAUGACUCAUACAUGAAAAUAAUAUGAAACCUGUUGAAAUUGGUAGUGGGCUUUAGGCCCAUUAGAGAAUUUUAGAAAAAUCUCCAAGGGCCCAUGUAGGUGGUGGCAUGACAAGGUGGUGUGAAGUUUAGUCCCACCCCGCUAGUGGAGGAGAAGUUGGACCCCUUUAUAAGGGUCUCUCUUCCACAUGCUAUUGGAGAGUGAGAAGAGAAGGUGCCCUCGCGCACUCCUCCUCCGCCGCCCACCUCGCCUCAUCGCGACGCGGGUUGCGGGAAUGAGCCGAGCCGAGCUCAUACCUACGCGCUUAUUUUUGCCGGUCAGGAACGGAGAAUACGUAACGGACACGACACGAUCCGAGACGUCGGACCGUGGGCUGUUACCGACUCGGACGUGGGUUCGGCCCACGUCUCUCCACCCAGCCGCGUUUAUAAGCAGGCUAUCGCCUACCCUAGCCGUCACGAGAAUCAGAUCGCAUCUGCCUCACGCGUUCGUUCCUUUUGCUGCUGCUGCCUCUGGCGACUCCGUCCCGUUUACCGCGUACACGGUCGACGGGAGAGCACGCCUCCGAAACCCCGCCUCUCCGGUUCCUGUACGGGAGAGGGGCGAUUUGGUUUUUGGGGAGCGAUCACGCGACUGCUCACCUCCGUCUGUCUGCUUCAUCUACGUUCGCGUCGCCCUCGUCAUCGCCAUGUCUUCACCAAGCGAAGCUGACCGUCUCGUCUGCGAGAAGGCCGAAGCCGAGAAGAAGGCGGCAGAGGAUGUUGCCGCUGCCACCGCUUCUGCUACGGCCAAUUGGACGAUCGGAGGGUAUGAUAUGUUUAUCUCUCUCCUAUUUUUGUCUGCACUAGUAGUACUGCCUGUAUGCGUAGAUGUUUUUACUAUAUGCGUAGUACUUGCUAGUAUACUCUGUGAUCAGUAUGUCAUGAACCUAGUCAAUGCCAUGUUAGUAAUUAUUUCAUGGAUUAAUCUACUCGGAAAAUUGCCUAUUUACUCAACAAUCCAAAAACCUAAUUUGUGUAGGAAUUUUUCGAGUAAUGGUUUUGCUGCUGCACUGAAACCGGAUAAGUUUACCGGUACUUUUUUCAAGCGUUGGCAAACGAGAACCACCUUAUGGCUCACGACUAUGAACGUGUUCUGGGUAGCCGGUGUCACUCCUACGGAAACUAUCACUCCUGAACAGGAGAAGAUGUUUAAGGAGGCCACCGUCCUAUUCCUUGGAGCAGUCAUUAGCGUGAUCGGAGAUAAGCUGGUUGAUGCAUAUUUACAUAUGCAUGUUGCCAAGGACUUGUGGGAGGCGCUCGAAUCUAAAUUCGGGGCCACCGAUGCUGGGAGUGAGAUGUAUGUUAUGGAGCAGUUCCAUGAUUACAAGAUGGUUGACAACCGUUCUGUAUUGGAACAGGCUCAUGAGAUAAUAUGCAUAGCUAAAGAACUUGAGGUUCUUAAGUGAAAUUUGCCGGGCAAGUUUGUCGCGGGAUGUAUAAUUGCUAAGCUCCCUAAUUCCUGGAGGAACUUUUCUACUACUCUGAAACAUCAGAGGCGUGAGUUCUCAGUAGAGGACAUCAUCGGCCAUCUGAGUGUUGAGCAGAACUCGAGAGCAAAGGACUCCAAUGGAAAAGCGGUGGAAAGCUCUUCUGCUGCCAAUAUGGUACAUCAGAGGAACUUCAAUUCCCACAAGCCCAAGGGAAAGAAUUCUGUCCAACAGAAUACCGACUUCAAGAAGAAGGGAAAGAAGACCUUCAAGAAGAAUAAGAAGGGAGAUGGCUGCUAUACUUGUGGAUCAGAGGAACAUUGGGCGAACAAAUGCCCAAACAAGUACAAGAAGGCGGCGCAGGACUCCAAGUCUGCCAAUAUGAUUGUGGGCAACAAUGAAAGUGGUGCACCUGGGUACGGUAAUUUACUUACUGUAUUUAUAGUUUGUCAGUCCACCGAUUGGUGGGUGGACACGGGUGCAAAUAUUCAUGUGUGUGCUGACUUAUCAUUGUUCUCUUCUUAUCAUGCCAUCGGUCGCGGGUCCGUAUUGAUGGGGAAUGGCGCGAGUGCUUCUGUUCUUGGUGUUGGCACGAUCGAUCUGAAGUUUACUUCGGGAAGGAUCGUGCAGCUGAAGAACGUGCAGCAUGUCCCCGCCAUCAAGAAGAAUCUCGUUAGUGGCUCCCUUCUGUGUAGAGAAGGGUUUAAGUUGGUAUUCGAGUCUAAUAAAUUAGUAGUUACGAAAUAUGGACUUUUCGUUGGAAAAGGUUAUGAAUGCGGAGGUCUGUUCCGCCUUUCUCUUGCAGAUUUUUGUAAUAAAGUCGUGAACAAUAUUCAUUCGAGUGUUAAUGAAUCUGAAGUUUGGCAUUCGCGUCUUUGUCACAUAAGUUUCGGUGUUAUGUCGCGGCUAGCAAAACUGAAUUUAAUCCCAACUUUCACUUUAGCCAAAAGUUCUAAGUGUCAUUCAUGUGUGCAAGCAAAGCAACCUCGCAAGCCUCACAAGGCUGCAGAGGAGAGACACUUGGCACCAUUAGAACUCAUACAUUCUGAUCUUUGUGAGAUGAAUGGUGUGUUGACUAAAGGUGGAAAGAAAUAUUUCAUGACAUUGAUAGAUGAUUCCACUAGAUAUUGCUAUGUGUAUCUGUUAAAUACUAAAGAUGAGGCUCUACACUACUUUAAAAUCUAUAAGGCAGAAGUUGAGAAUCAACUUGAAAAGAAAAUUAAAUGAGUCCGGUCUGAUCGUGGUGGAGAGUACUUCUCAAAGGAAUUUGAUUCAUUUUGUGCGUAACACGACAUUAUUCAUGAGAGGACGCCUCCCUAUUCACCCUAAUCAAAUGGGGUUGCCGAGCGGAAAAACCGUACUCUAACUGAUUUGGUUAACGCCAUGUUAGAUACAUCGGGUUUAUCCAAGGCAUGGUGGGGGGAGGCUAUAUUGACCGUGUGUCAUGUCCUGAAUAAAGUUCCUACAAAAGAUAAUGAGGUCACUCCCUACGAGGAGUGGUCGAAGAGAAGGACGACGCUCUCGUACUUACGUACUUUGGGCUUCUUGGCGAAAGUCAAUGUACCGAUCCCCAAGAAGCGUAAGCUUGGACCAAAGACUGUGGACUGCGUUAAUUUGGGAUACGCUAAGAAUAGCGUAGGCUAUAGAUUUCUAGUAGUGAAAUCUGAGGUACCUGACGUGAAGGUCGGUACAAUAAUGGAGUCAAGGGAUGCUACAUUCGUUGAGGAUAUAUUUCCCAUGAAAGAUAUGCAAAGCACUUCUAGACAGGAAUCUGAGAUAACUCCUGAGCCUGCCAUUCCUAUGGAAUACUAUGAACAAACACAUGAUGAAAAUCCUGAGGAGGAUGACGAGGAAGCCCGUGGUAGGGGCAAGAGACAAAGGACUGCAAAGACCUUUGGUGAUGAUUUCUUCGUAUGCCUCGUGGAUGAUAAUCCCACUUCUAUUUCAGAAGUGUAUGCUUCUCCAGAUGCUGAUUACUGGAAAGCUGCGGUCCGUAGCGAGAUGGAAUCCAUCAUGGCUAACGGGACAUGGGAAAUCACUGAUCGUACCUAUGGUUGCAAACCAUUGGGAUGCAAGUGGGUGUUCAAAAAGAAGCUUAGGCCCGAUGGUACGAUUGAAAAGUACAAGGCUAGGCUUGUGGCCAAGGGCUAUGCCCAGAAAGAAGAAGAAGAUUUCUUCGAUACUUAUUCACAUGUGGCUAGACUGACCACCAUUCGAGUACUACUCUCAUUGGCGGCCUCUCAUGGUCUUCUCGUUCAUCAAAUGGAUGUUAAGACGGCUUUCCUGAAUGGAGAGCUAAAUGAGGAAAUCUAUAUGCAACAGCCAGAUGGCUUUGUGAUAGAAGGUCAGGAAGGAAAGGUGUGUAAGUUACUGAAAUCUUUAUAUGGUCUGAGACAAGCACCUAAGCAAUGGCAUGAGAAGUUUAAUACAACUCUGACAUCUGUUGGCUUCGUUGUUAAUGAAGCUGACAAAUGUGUAUACUAUCGCCAUGGUGGGGGCGAAGGAGUUAUAUUGAGCUUGUAUGUUGAUGGCAUACUGAUAUUUGGAACCAACCUCAAAGUAAUUGAGGAGGUCAAGUCUUUUCUGUCUCAAAACUUUUAGAUGAAGGACCUUGGGGUGGCUGAUGUUAUCUUGAACAUCAAGCUGUUGAGAGAUGAUGAGGGUGCGAUUACACUUCUGCAGUCCCACUAUGUUGAGAAGAUUUUGAGUCGCUUUGGAUAUUCAGAUUGCAAAAUUUCUCAAACACCAUAUGAUCCUAGUGUGCUUAUUAGAAAGUCUAAAGGCACAACUAUAGAUCAAUUGAGAUUCUCUCAAAUUAUCGGUUCGCUUAUGUACCUAGCUAGCGCAACGAGGCCUGACAUCGCGUUUGCUGUGAGCGAACUUAGCCGGUUUGUUGCAAACCCGGGCGAUGUUCAUUGGCGUGGUGUUGAAGGAAUUAUGCGCUACUUGAAAGGUACUGUCAACCACGGGCUUCACUAUACGGGAUUCCCAUCGGUACUUGAAGGGUAUAGUGAUGCGAAUUGGAUCUCUGAUGCUGAUGAGAUGAAGGCCACCACUGGAUAUAUGUUUACUCUUGGGGGUGGUGCUGUUUCCUGGAAGUCUUGCAAGCAAACGAUCUUAACGAGAUCGACAAUGGAAGCAGAAUUAAUAGCAUUAGACACAUCUGGUGUCGAAGCAGAAUUUCUUCGAGAUCUUUUGAUGGACUUACGUGUGGUUGAGAAGCCGGUUCCGGCUAUCCUUAUGAACUGCGAUAAUCAGACGGUUAUUGUCAAAGUGAAGAGUUCAAAGGACAAUAUGAAGUCCAACAAACAUAUAAGAAUGAGAUUGAAGUCUGUCAGACGUUUGAGAAACUCUGGAGUGAUAGCGUUGGAUUACAUCCAAACGGCUAAGAAUCUGGCAGAUCCCUUUACUAAAGGGCUAUCACGUGUUGUGAUAGAUAGUGCAUCGAGGGAGAUGGGUAUGAGACCCACAUGAGUUGCCAUGGUAGUAAUUCAACCUAUAUGAUCGGAGAUCCCGUGAAGUAGGACCUGGGAAAACAAGCCAGUGGUGAACUAAGGAGAGUAACUUUACUAAACCACUCCGUUGGAGAUGCAAUACUCUCGAAUACUGUAUGGUAGGAUGAUUACUGUCUUAAUAUGUUCUAAGGCUUAUAUAUAAGCAAGAUGCUGUCCUACAGAGCGAUCUUUGGAGAAACACACCUAUAUGAGCUUGACUGCUGGUCACAGUCUAUGAGAUUUGGGUGAUCUCCAGUAAACUCAUGAAUAGGCCUGGAGUGUGACUAAUAUGCUCCACCCGAGGGGUCACCUUCGGCAGUCUAGUACUAGUAAGACUUGUGGUGAAGCUCCUUUACGCCAAACUGACAAUUCAAGGCAUAGUCCAUUGUUCAUUUGUAAAGGGGUGUAGCUACUUGCUCUAGGUGAAGCUCAACCUUAACAGGUCUUCACUGAAAUGUUGGUAUAUUAAAACAGUGAUUGGAACGAGGGAACACGAUGUGCCCUUGAGAUCUGGUGGGGGAUUGUUGAAAUUGGUAGUGGGCUUUAGGCCCAUUAGAGAAUUUUAGAAAAAGCUCCAAGGGCCCAUGUAGGUGGUGGCAUGACAAGGUGGUGGGAAGUUUAGUCCCACCCCGCUAGUGGAGGAGAAGUUGGACCCCUUUAUAAGGGUCUCUCUUCCACAUGCUAUUGGAGAGUGAGAAGAGAAGGUGCCCUCGCGCACUCCUCCUCCGCCGCUCGCCUCGCCACGCCUCAUCACGACGCGACGCGACGCGGGUUGCGGGAAUGAGCCGAGCCGAGCUCAUACCUACGCGCUUAUUUUUGCCGGCCAGGAACGGAGAAUACGUAACGGACACGGACGUCGGAUCGUGGGCUGUUACCGACUCGGACGUGGGUUCGGCCCACGUCUCUCCACCCAGCCGCGUUUAUAAGCAGGCUAUCGCCUACCGUAGCCGUCACGAGAAUCAAAUCGCAUCUGCCUCACGCGUUCGUUCCUUUUGCUGCUGCUGCCUCCGGCGACUCCGUCCCGUUUACCGCGUACACGGUCGACGGGAGAGCAGGCCUCCGAAACCCCGCCUCUCCGGUUCCUGUACGGGAGAGGGGCGAUUAGGUUUUUGGGGAGCGAUCACGCGACUGCUCGCCUCCGUCCGUCUGCUUCGUCUACGUCCGCGUCGCCCUCGUCAUCGCCAUGUCUUCACCAAGCGAAGCUGGCCGUCUCGUCCGCGAGAAGGCCGAAGCCGAGAAGAAGGCGGCAGAGGAUGUUGCCGCCGCCACCGCUUCUGCUACGGCCAAUUGGCCGAUCGGAGGGUAUGAUAUGUUUAUCUCUCUCCUAUUUCUGUCUGCACUAGUAGUACUGCCUGUAUGCGUAGAUGUUUCUGCUAUAUGCGUAGUACUUGCUAGUAUACUCCGUGAUCAGUAUGUCAUGAACCUAGUCAAUGCCAUGUUAGUAAUUAUUUCAUGGAUUAAUCUACUCGAAAAAUUGCCUAUUUACUCAACAAAACCUAUGUAUGAGGCGCUCAGAUCCAAAGUCAAACCGUUCCCAACACGCGGUGCCUUGCCCAUGGGGGUGCACCAACAGAGUGACGUGGUAGAUACGUGUGACCUCGCAGUGUGCCUUUUGCCGACGUUGCUCCGGCCUGGUGUUUCUCGACUUGUGUCUUCGAGUGUUCAUGGUUUUUCCGGCAUCCUCUACCGAUGUGGUUUCGGCCCUAAUAACCCGGUAGUUGUGUUCCUUCCGUCUCCCUCUGCUCGUUGGUGUCUUGACGGUUAUGGCAUCGUCGGCUCGGAUCUGCGCCACUUCCAGUUCCUUGCUCAUUGCCAGCCAAAGCUGUUACAAUCGCGACUCAAGCUUUAGAAUUUUAUGACUUACGAUCCGAACUAAGCCCUCUUAUUCUAUGAUUUCUCUCAUAGAAUCUAAGUUUCUAUGAUCCUGGUAGUUAUGGUUCUACGAUUCACGAUCCUACCAAUGAAGCUCCGGUCUAAUUCAGAAUCUCGAUUCUGACAACUUUGUUGCCAGCUGUUGUCGCUUCCCCUGCAUCGUUUCUCUCUGCCUCAUUGCCUCCCCGAUCAUGUCCACCUCUACGCCUCGCCUUGUGCCUGAUGUAUUGCUCGCGGUCCGACAGUGCUCGGUGUCGUCCUUUGGCAACAAGUGCAGCCCCACACCCCUUUCCUGAUGUGGCGGUUUCGACCGACGGCGUGAGUUCCUCAUCUCUAAUUUCCGAACAGAUGGAUAUGGGAUUGCCAGGACUCAGGCAAGGGUGAAAUCUUUGUUUGGCUUGCCGAUGCUGUCAGCGGCGACAUUCGAGGGUACCGUUUUCUUCUUGAAGGCGCUGCCAUGGCCUUCAUCCAAGCCGAGCACAUGAGAAACAAUUGGUCAAGUUGAAGGUGCCAUCUUGUUCGCUCGUUGUAUCCCUGCGGUUAGCUUUGGUGAUGUUGGUUGUCGUGGCCGUUUCGGCCUUCCCCUCUGCUUGGAGGCUUGUUGGUUUAGCUGUGUCGUACCCUCCUUUCGGGUCGAGCAUCCCCUUUUCUCUCUGCUCAUUGCACCAUGUACAUGCCAUCUUGUGUUCGUGUAUUGUAUUGGACCCUCAACGAAAUAAUACGUAAGCUUUACGCAUCCACGAAAUAUAAGUGGCCACCGAUGUUGGAUCUGUGUCUAGCCAACUCUCCAUGUAUUGGAUCUACACAAAGACCAGUGAAAGAUCUAGAGGGUGGACAGGGUGGGCAGCCCAUCUUAAUUUUUUCCAAUAGCCUUUACAUUAUUGGUUUUGCUAGAACUCAUCUAGUUGAAUUUUUAUUAUGUCUCAUUCAUCCUUUAUAACCAUUGAAUGUGAUUAUAAGAUGCGUUUGUGCUGACGUGGGUUGUAGUACUAUUUUAUAUUUGUUUUUUUCUAGGUGAAUGCGACUAAAUUAUAUUCAUUUAGAUGAGAUCGAAACACUUCCUUACAUUAUAUAGUUUUAAAAGGAAAACCUAGUAGAUUUAUACGAGCAAUUACACCGUUGGCCAUCCUGGUCCAUUGGGCUGGAUUCCCCACUAACAAAUACCAAGCAUGAUGCAAUUUUUUCUCAAGAAAAGUAUGAUGCAAACACGUGAAUACGAAUAUAACACAGUGAAGAAUACAACUUUUGUGAAAGUGGCAUCGUUAUUCAUUCAUGCAUAGCUUUUCUGCUUUAGCACUUGGCAAAGGGCCACCGUCCCCACCACAAAUUUGAGCAAUUCACCUGGCAUCCGAACCAUGCAGCUAGGCGCUAGCUAGUGGUCGACAUGGAUCGCCGACGUCUCCCGGCACCACCGGUUCCGUGAAUCCUGCGCGUAGCACAGGACAAACGGGUGGAUGGCAUAUGCAUGGUCGACAUAGGGCGCCGACGUCUGUGACAUCGCUCUCGAUCGUCUCCCGGCACCACUCGUUCCCGUUGGCCGUUAUCGAUCGAGACACAUGGUGAGACAGGAACGGGCCACUUGGACGUGGCGUCGCAUACACUUCGCCGACGUGACUGCAGGCAGCUCGUUCUGUCCGAGGGGGUCCAAUUCCAAAUGGCCCAUGUUCAAAGGAAAACGUUUAACGGCUACACGCUGGCCGAAGAUCUUCGGCCAGCGCCUGCCUCAUGUCGCACUGGAUCCACACACGCAUCACAUCCACGCACAGCGAGUUACAUCUGGCCUUACAUAGGCCCGUGCAACCUUAUUCACCCUCUAGUGGCUUAGGCCCUGUUUGUUUCAGAAGUUUCGGGACAUUUUUUUUAGUCUUAACUUAAAAGUCCCUAGUCCCUAUCCGUUUAUUUUCAGGGAUUAAAUAGAGACUAGAGGUCAUUGAAUGACAUGUAAAAAGACCAUGUUACCCUUAGUAAUGUAGUAGUAGUUAUUAAAUGACAUGUUAAAAGUAGGGGCAUUGUUGGAAAAAGUGCCAAAAAGUCCCAAAAAGACCCUUCCAUAGGGACUUCUCCAAAUAGUCUCAAAUACCCCCUUUUAGUCCCUAAAAGUCCCUCCUGUUUGUUUCACACGAGACUUUUUGAGACUUUUUUUAGUCCCUACACCAAAAAGUCCGUGGAAACAAACACCCCCUUAGUCCCCAUCUCUCUCCUCCCGUCCACGCAUACUCUGAUGUUUUCAUGCUGCCCCACGGUCCCUCCUUUUAGAGUUACUUGCAAAAUACUACCACAAUUCGGGCCGUAUUUACAAGUUGGUGUCAUUUUGCAAUUUUUUUGCAAAUACGUAUCAAGAUACACACAGCUUCUUGCAAAACUUGCAUUUCUACGUAUAGAUGCUCUUUCUGACAGAUAUGGUCCACCGGUCAGUCUCUUACAAGAAAAAUCGGCCCGGACCGCUUCGAUCAGGGGAAAACCGACUCUUUCUCUCCAUCCAGACCGGACAGGCAAAAAAAAACCUUCGUCUCCUCCAGACCAUCUCCCCUGCUCCUCCACCCCGCCUCCCCCUCACCGCCACCACCGCCACACCCCGCCGGCCACUCCCUCCACCCCACCGCAACCACCAGCACCGCCCCUCCCUCCUGCGCCCCCGCCUCCUCACCGUCCGCGGCGUCGCCGGCGCUGCUUGACGGUUCUGGUCGCAUGUCGGACCGUCCGAUCCGCGUGCUGCGUGUGCCGGCGUCCCGCGCCACUGUGUGGCGCAGGCUCUCCUCGCCCGCGGUCACCAUGUCCCUGCGCACGUGCUCCAGGAGGCGCAGCGUGAACCGCUCCAAGUCGCCGUCGAACCGCGCGGAGAGGGAGUGGCCCGUCGAGUGCGCGUGUGAGAACGGCCGCCCCGACCGCGACCGCGAUCGCACCGCGCGCCGCAUGCUGUCGAUCCACUCCAGCUCCGCUGCUUCCCUCAUUCUCUCCUCCUGCUCCUCGCCGUCGCCCUCGCGGUUCAUGUCGAUGGACACCUCCGGCGCCCGCUGCUCCUCCCCGCCGGCGCCGUCCGCUUCGGCCGCCGCCGUGGCUGCUGGCUCCUCCGGGGCGAGGCUGCAGCGGCAGACGGGGCAGGUGACGUGGCCGACGAGCCACUCCCCGAUGUAGUCCGGGUGGAACGCGUGGCUGCACUUGGGGAGGAGGCGGAGCUGGUCCCCGUCCUCGAACUCGCUGAGGCAGACGACGCACUCGAGCACGGCCGUGCUGUCCUCGCCCUUGCCUCCCGCUUCCUUCUCAUGGAGCUCCCUCGCCUCGGCGUAGGUCAUGGCGGGGAAGGAGGCGACCACCUCCGGGUCGAGCCCACGCGGCCGGGCCUACUGUUGUUGCUCCUACCGCGACAGCACGAGGAAGGCCGCGGCCGGGAUGGUGGGGGAGUUCCCGCGGCCGCACUGGCAGAUGUAGAUGGAGAAGAAGCCGAUGAAGAAGAAGGUGGCGAUGAGCACCACGAGGAGCACCACCAUGGGCGCGCUGAAGCUGGGCGGCUUCCUCGCGCCGUACACGACCCCUCUCCCGCUGUCGCUCGUCCUGUCCCACUCGUCGUCGUCCGCCCGAGCGACUGCGCCGGUCGCGAGGAGGAGCUCCGCGAGCAGCACCGCAUGGCAUAUCUAUCGGCGGCGUCGGUAUCGACAUCGACGCGUUUCUCGGUGCCGCGGUAUAAAAACGAACGAGUGAAGGAAGGAAGGAAGGAAGGAAGCAGGCAGUGGAGCGACGCGUGCGUGGCUGGAUUACUUUGCGACCGGAACCGUCAAGCAGCGCCGGCGACGCCGCAGACGGUGAGGAGGCGGGGGGCGGGGGCGGAGGAGGGAGGGGGCGGUGCUGGUGGUUGCGGUGGGGUGGAGGGAGUGGCCGGCGGGGUGUGGCGGUGGUGGCAGUGAGGGGGAGGCAGGGUGAAGUAGCACGGGGGAUGGUGGUCUGGAGGAGACGAAGGUUUUUUUUGCCUGUCCGGCCUGGAUGGAGAGAAAGAGUCGGUUUUCCCUGGAUCGAAGCGGUCAGGGCCGGUUUUCUUGUAAGAAACUGACCGGUGGGCCAUAUCUGCCACAAAGAGCAUCUAUACGUAGAAAUACAAGUUUUGCAACAAGCUACGUGUAUCUUGGUACGUGUUUGCAAAAAAAUUGAAAGAUGAUAUCAACUUAUGAAUACGGUUCGAAUUAUGAUAGUCUUUUGCAAUUAACUCCUGCUUUUGCCGUUGUUUUCCCUCCAUUCAGGACGUCACAGAUGAGUAUGCCGGCAACUACACCUGGCACGAGCGGUGGAACCGGAGAAUGGCUAACCCAAAACCGUAACCUGAUGUACUACUAUCGGUUGGCAGGGACGAAGCCAUCAAUCUGGCAAGAUUUGAUGUCCGCCACACCUAAAAUUUGAUACAAAUAGCAGGGACGAAGCCAUCAAUCUGGCAAGAUUUGAUGUCCGCCACACCUAAAAUUUGAUACAAAUACACUAGCAUGCUCCUGUAGUACGUCUUUGAUUUUAGCUGAUCCAUGCGUCCAGCCGGCCAUCUCAACAUGUGGCUUUGAAUACACAGUAUAUAUGCCAGAAAUUGCUUUUCGAGCUCCGCCUUUAUGGAGACCACCAAAUUCAAAAUUAAACAUUUAUAAAAAUUUAUAUUUUUACGGCUGAAAAAAUUCUGAAAAAAAUUAUAGAUAUAUAUCAAGGCAUAAUGCACAAGUGUGUAAAUUUGCAGGUCAAAAUAUGUUGAAAUGAGGGUUGUGGAACAAAAAACAAAUCUGAGUGUUUUUAACGCAUGAUACUAUUCAUCAUUUUAGGUCUUGAAUUUGUUUUUUUGUACAGUUGGCAAUUCAAAGUAUUUCAUCGUGAAUUUUGACACAUCGUGUAUAUUACAUCCUUACAUACAUGCAUAUUUUUUCAGAAUUUUUUGAAACAAAAGAAUGAUUCUUUUCUUUCAAAAUUCAGUCUCCAUGGAGCUGGAGAUCCAAAAGGCCUUAAAGCAUCUCUGGCAGAUCCCACAUUUUCGCGGAAACUGUAUAAAUAACUGCCGUUUUGCCGUUUCGGACCGAAAAGGCUCGCGGAGCAGAUCCCACAAAAGUGAUCGGCCUACCAAAAAUUUUGAGGGGCGCGACAGUUUUCGUCGGCGAAACUGUGAAAACAAGGUUUUGCGACGAGACCCGGGGGUGCCCUGCAUUGCGCGGAAAUACUUGGCGGGAGGGACAUUUCAGCGCGCGGGUUGCUUCCCUCCCCUUUUCCCUUCCAGCCGCCACGACCGCCCUCGCCGUCGACGCCCUAGAUUCCGGCCGCCGAACACCUUCUGCCCACCUCCGCCGCCGCCGCACGUCAUCGCAGGCCCUGCGCGUCCGGGCUCCGACGGCGGCGCGGGGUCUUUGUCUCCGCCGCCCAAGAUCGAGGCCACCCCGACGAAAGGGCAUCCGCCACCGCGGCGCCGCCUGUCGGGACCGACCCCACCGCUUCGGCCUCUUGAUCUCAGGUGGGAUUUGCCUCCUUCUCCCCCUCCACCCCAACUGCUCCAUCGUGCACUCUCAUUUUCUUCUUUCGGGAGAUGGAAUUGAGCUCCGAUGAGGAAUUUGUGCUCGUCGAUUCUUCCUCCUCCGACGACUCGGAUGUGGAGAAUCUCCUGGCGAACCAUCGGCAGCAGAUGUUGGUGGUCAUGAUGGCCAUCAAGGAGUACGAGGAUCGACGGAGGAGUCAGCGGCGUGGAUCGAAGGUAGGCCUCCUAUGCAUCCCGCGCUAUCGCCACCUCGGCAACAAACUGCUGAUGCGAGACUACUUCGCCCAGCGGCCAACCUAUCCCGCCAACCUCUUCCGGCGAAGGUAACGAAUGCGUCGAUCCCUCUUUGUCAAAACAGUAGAGGCUUGCGAGUCAAAUUCUCGCUAUUUUACUCGCUGGAGGAACGCCGCUGGAUUAUUGGGAUUUAGUGCAUACCAAAAGAUAUCCGUAGCCAUGAGGGUCAUUGCAUACGAAAUCGCUGCGGACUUCGCCGAUGAGUAUCUUCGUAUUUGUGCACAUACUACAAUAGAGUCCGUGCGUAGGUUCGCGAAGGUUAUGAUCCAUGUGUUUGGUCCAACUUAUCUUCGAGCACCAAACGAAGAUGAUACAAAGAGGUUGAUGACGAUGAAUGAAAGGAGAGGCUGGCCGGGUAUGCUAGGUAGCAUAGAUUGCAUGCAUUGGACUUGGAAAAAUUGCCCGAAGGCUUGACACGGGCAAUAUUGUGGCAAAAGCCGAGAUGCAACAAUUGUGCUUGAGGUCUUAGCGUCCGAGGAUUUGUGGAUAUGGCAUUGCCACUUCGGUUUGCGGGGCACCAACAAUGAUAUCAAUGUGUUGCAACGGUCACACCUAUUUGGAAGGCUUGCUAGUGGUAAUGCUCCUCCUUGCAACUUCACUGUGAAUGGUAAUGCCUACACUCAAGGGUACUACCUUGCCGACGACAUUUAUCCUCCUUGGACUACUUUUAUGAAAACUAUAUCCAAUCCAAGCACUAGGAAACAAGCUGAAUUUGCUAAGCAACAAGAGGCGUGGAGAAAGGAUAUUGAGAGAGCCUUUGGGGUUUUGCAAUCUAGAUUUGCUAUUGUUCGUGGGCCAGCUCGUUUUUGGGAUAAGAAAACCCUCAGCAACAUCAUGCCAUGUUGUGUGAUUCUUCACAACACGAUCAUUGAAGAUGAGAGGGAUUUAAACUUGGAGUUCUUCUACGACAAAGUUGGUAGCUGUGUGAAGCCAUCCAGAAACCCUGACCGUAUUCAGGCUUUCCUGAAGCCCUACCGGCAUAUAGAAGACGCCCAUGGGCACACCCAGCUGCAGCAUUAAUCUCACUAAGCACAUAUGGCAGUUGCAUGGACAGUGGAGAUUUUUACGUUCAUCUAUUUGAUUGUUGUGUAAUCUGAACUAUUCUCUUAUUCCGGACAAUUGUUGUAUUGGAUUAUUUAUUUAAUUCUUUCAUUUGAACCAUUUUUGUAAGUUUGACAAUUGUUGUAAUGUACCGAAGGACAAAGGGANNNNNNNNNNNNNNNNNNNNNNNNNNNNNNNNNNNNNNNNNNNNNNNNNNNNNNNNNNNNNNNNNNNNNNNNNNNNNNNNNNNNNNNUGCGACGUUCCCCAACAGUGGCAUCAUGAGCUAGGUUCAUGCGUAGAUGUCUUCUCGAGUAGAACACAAAAGGUUUUGUGGGCGGUGAUGUGCGUUUUGCUGCCCUCCUUAGUCUUUUCUUGAUUCCGCGGCAUUGUUGGAUUGAAGCGGCUUGGACCGACAUUACUCGUACGCUUACGAGAGACUGGUUUCAUCGUUACGAGUAACUCCGUUGCUCAAAGAUGACUGGCAAGUGUCGGUUUCUCCAACUUUAGUUGAAUCGGAUUUGACCGAGGAGGUCCUUGGAUGAGGUUAAAUAGCAACUCAUAUAUCUCCGUUGUGGUGUUUGCGUAAGUAAGAUGCGAUCCUACUAGAUACCCAUGGUCACCACGUAAAACAUGCAACAACAAAAUUAGAGGACGUCUAACUUGUUUUUGCAGGGUAUGCUUGUGAUGUGAUAUGGCCAAUGAUGUGAUGUGAUAUAUUGGAUGUAUGAGAUGAUCAUCUUGUAAUAGAAAUAUCGACUUGCACGUCGAUGGUACGGCAACCGGCAGGAGCCAUAGGGUUGUCUUUAUACUAACGUGUGUGCUUGCACAUGCGUUUACUAUUUUGCUAGGAUGUAGCUUUAGUAGUAAUAGCAUGAGUAGCACGACAACCCCGAUGGCAACACGUUGAUGGAGAUCAUGGUGUGGCACCGGUGACAAGAAGAUCGUGCCGGUGCUUUGGUGAUGGAGAUCAAGAAGCACGUGAUGAUGGCCAUAUCAUGUCACUUAUGAAUUGCAUGUGAUGUUAAUCCUUUUAUGCACCUUAUUUUGCUUAGAACGACGGUAGCAUUAUGAGGUGAUCUCUCACUAAAAUUUCAAGACGAAAUUGUGUUCUCCCCGACUGUGCACCGUUGCUACAGUUCGUCAUUUCGAGACACCACGUGAUGAUCGGGUGUGAUAGACUCAACGUUCACAUACAACGGGUGCAAAACAGUUGCACACGCGGAACACUCGGGUUAAGCUUGAUGAGCCUAGCAUGUGCAGACAUGGCCUCGGAACACAUGAGACCGAAAGGUCGAUCAUGAAUCAUAUAGAUGAUAUGAUUAGCAUAGGGAUGCUUACCACUGAAACUAUACUCAACUCACGUGAUGAUCGGACUUGAAUAGCAGCCAUUGGCCUCCCCUUCAACAUGGAAGCCACUUGUUCAUUCGUGGCCAAAGAUGUCUGUAGUGAAAGUCGGACGAAGAGAGGGUAUUCUUCCAUGUCAUCAAUUAUUUUGAACAAAUUCUCAUUCGGGUUGGUCACGUGUGUGAAACGCAUGGUAUCUGACAUAUCACGCAGUGACCGCGUCAUGUCUUGAACCACACUCUCAUCACACUUCACCCUCUUACCUUUAUUGCGUUUGUCACCUCGAGGACGCUUUGAACAUGAGCUUUCAUUGUUGGUGUCAUCAGGAAGACAAUCUGAAUCAUAAUGGGUUGCAGGAUCAACCUCAACAUCACUAGCAUUCUUCUCGGUAUCACCAAUAAAAUCCUUGUGACGAGCCUGAACACGGUCAUAUGGUGUUUGAAGGACCAUGAACUCUCCAGUAGCAUGCUUAUCCUGAAAUAUGAACUCCAUCUCAUCAAAGUUGGCAAUUGGCACAUUGAUAUAUUUUGCCCUUUUGUCUUUAUUAUGGAAGAGAGAAGAAGAAUGAAAAUGUUAGUUAUUAGUCACGAAAGAAAAAACAUGAUACUCGAUGAAACUAUAAUUUGACUUAAUUGAUAUGUAGUCCUCACAUUCUUCAUACGAACAACUUCUGUCUCAUCAUAUAAUAUUAUCUUGUUGACAUCAUCAAAAUUGGCACCACUUAAGUUCUUCGCCUCUAGUACAAUCUUCCACUGACCUUUGAGCUUGUGGAACUUGUGAUAAACUUGUCGUUGUGUGAAGGCAGUGGUAAACCUUGCAUUGAUUUGUUUUGCACAUUCCUCAUGAUGUGUCUCUUUGAAAACAAAUUGUUUUCCCUCAGACUGAAUCUUCUCUUUGUAGUAACGUAACAUUUCAUCAACAACUUGGGGCUGCCACACCACAUUGUUUCCUGAUAUAUCCUGUGGUACCAUUUAAAUUUUAUAAUGCAUAGACAUAAUAACAUCACUGAGAUGCAUAUAACAUUGCAUUCGUACCUAGGGAAAGAUAUAACUUUGCAAAAAAUCAUGGUUACUAGUUAAAGGCAAAAAACACACACGUUGUUCUCGGUAGUGCUAAUACAACUUAGAAUAAAAAAAACUCAUACAUGUAGCUUGAAAAAAAUCAACCACGUCUAACAUUAUGCCUAUUUCUCCACAUAUUGGCUGCCAUGGUAUCCCUAUCUCGAAGCACUUCCCUUUGUUCCUCACGUAAAUCUCGUUGGACACGGCCAGCUGAUCUUGGAUAUUGUUCAAACCAGUUUUGCUCACUGUAGACUAGUUCAUCAGGACCCCCGUUUAGUAAUAUCCAGUUGUGAAGGAUACAACAUGCUAUGACAACUCGCACUUGUGAAGGAAAGGGAUAAUAUGGCCUUGUUGUUAGAACUUUGAAACGGUUCUUCAAAGUUCCGAAUGCCCUCUCAACAGUAGUACGAAGGGAUGAGUGUCUUAAAUUGAAUAGCUCAUUUUGUGUCCGAGGUCUAUUAUUACCCCUCCAUUCACGCAAAUGAUAUUGAGUUUGACGGAACGGCGGUAGGAAUCCUUUCCUAGCUGCAUAUCCCGCAUCCGCAAGAUAGUACUUACCUAACAUGACAUUAUCGACAAUUAAUCAAUCAUGCGCUCUGUAUGUUAUAUCAUAAUAUGUAAAAAUUGCAGGGGCCUACCUUCAGGGACUCUAAGGCCAUUUGGAUGCUCAAGAGAAUGUCUUAAAACGGUUGAAUCGUGUGCCGAACCCUCCCAGCCCGCACAAACAUAAGUGAACAACAAAUCAAAGUCGACCGCGGCAAGAACAUUUUGUGUAGGGAAUGGUUUCCUGCCGCGAAAUCUGUCAACUAUCCGAGAUGGAACGUUGCAUGGAACAUGUGUACCAUCAAUAGCACCAAUACAAUCCUAAAUAUCGAAUUAAAAAUUAAUUAGUAAUACACCUACUGCACUAUGAAGUUAUUUUAAAAUUUAUGGAUACCAAGAUGCACACUGUACUAUACCUUAAAAUAGGGAUCAAAUCGUAGGUUGCCUUGAAUUUUUGACGGUGUAUCGAGUGUGCGAUGCCUAAGCAUUUCUGGGCCAAGUUUCCCAAUUGCAAAUAAAACUUUGUUGAAGUAACGACUCACUGUUUCACCUGACCUUUUAAAAUGGAAACUAAUAGCGACAUUUUUCUUAUGAUGCCCUACAGUAGUGAGGAACAUGGCUACUUGUUCCUCAACAGUACAAUGCCAUGUAUCUUUAAGUUGUCUCAUACUCCGUAAUUUAUGACACAGUUUGAAGAAAACUGAUUUUCCCAUACGUAAUUCCGCAAUGCAGUGUUUCUCCUCGCCGCAGUAAAGUUUGCGUAGAUAUGCCAUUCUUUCUUUAUUUCUCUCUAACAAUGAGUAUCUUAUAGGAUGACUAGAGUUGCUUAGAUAUACGAUCAAUGCAUAAUAUGUCACCACAAAUGCACUGAAGAACGCUAUUUUUCUGUUAAUUUGCGCAUUGCCGUCCAUCUAUAAAUCAGUGAAAGAAAAAUAAAUAUUAAUGUCUUACACAACACGGCGCCAUCAGUAUAUACACAGUCAUAAGCAGACCUAAAUCCUAACAAAUCAAUUCAGAUCCAUGUAAAAUAGAUAGCUCCAUAUCCAUGUUUGAGUACGGACCAAAUCAAGAAAUCUGAUGCAGAUGUAUGUUCAUACAAGUCAACCACUAUCAUGCACUUCUAGUACGGUAGCACUUAAUUUCAGAUUGACUAGAAAUAAAAACUGGGUGUUAGGUGCGCACCAACAGCAGGAUUAUGCCCCAGCCCCAACACCACAACCUGCCAUUAGAGUGAGCUUGCUGUCACAUGGCCGCACUAAUCAUAUCCUAAAGACAGGUCAUCCAAGAAAAAUCCAACCAUGAAGACCAUGGGAAAUAUACAGAACUAAUUGGGAUCUGGAGCCUCUCGUACUAAUCAACCCUUGAGCCAGCCACUCUAGUCACAGGAGAAAGAUUCAUACACACAGGCAGGAAGAUUCAAGAGAUGUGGAGGGGGAUGCAUACCUGAUCAAGGAGGAUGAGGCGUCCGCUUUUAGAUCUGGAGCUCGUCUUCACCAAAUCAUGGAGGGGAACAGCCAACUCGCUCUAUUUAUCCGGUGGGAAAUACCAAGAUUUCAGGAUUUCGUUGGGGAUGAGGAGAAAACGGGGAGAGUGGAGGAGGUCCGAGUGGAGAGGAUAUAGGGAUUUGUUGCAGACGAGUUCAUCCAUCCGGAGCGUUCGGCGUCGGUUUGUUUCGCGCGUCCGAGUUUGCCGUCGAGGGCGAGUCAAAUCGGCUCUCCCUGUUGAGCGAGGAUUUUCUGACCCGUCAAGAUUAUCUGCCCCAAAAGCAAGGUAUUAUUUGGGCUACCAAACGGAUAGCCUAGCCUAGCAAGGCAAAAACGACUUUUGCCAAGUAACCAAACACACCCUAAGUGGCACCGUAGUGCGUACUGCGUAGUCGAUCAAUCUCGCGCGCAAACACACAAGGCCUAAGCCGCUGGUUGCUUGGCAGCGCAUCGGUCACCACGUCGGAUCGACGCUCGCACUGCUCGAAAAGGAAGCAGGUUGCACGGCGAGAACGCCGGCGGCGCACGCGACGUGUCCACAUCAGGUGCUGCAGAGCACGUAGUUGGUUAAAAAGUCCUAACACUUUUUUUUUAGUUUUAACUAGUAAAAAGUUCCUAGCAUCUGUUUAAUUUCACAGAGUAAAUAUGAAUCAACUGUUAUUAAAUUACAUGCAAAAAGGCCCUGUUACCCUAGUACUCUCUCCGUGUACGUAUACCUAGGUUGUCAAUUUAACUUAUAUAAAAUAUAUUAUUUAAUAUAAAAAUUAUAUCAUUAUUUUCUCCGUUCCUAAAUAUAAGUCUUCCUAAAGGUUUCACUAAUGGAUUACGAUGUAUGUAGAUAUACUUUAGAGUAUAGAUUCACUCAUUUUGCUCCGUAUGUAGACACCUAGUGAAAUAUAUUAAAAGACUUAUAUUUAGGUACGGAGGGAGUAAAAAAUAAAACAUCUAAAGUUUCUUAUGAUAUAUUUUUAUAAUAUAUGCCUCUCAUUAAAUUGGUCAAAUUGACGACCUAGAUACACGUACCGGACUUAUAAACUGAAACGAAAAAGUAAUAAACUAAAUAUUAUUAAAUAAUAUGUUAAAAGCUAAAAAAGUCUAAAAAGACUCUUUUUAGGUUUUAUUUUUUUAGUCCCAAAUGCCCACUCGUAAUCCCUAAUAUCCUUAUAUUUUGUUUAAAUAAAACUAAUAUUUUUAAUCCUUACACCAAAAAUUGCAUUUAAACAAACACCCUCGCAGUCCCGAGACCCAGGUCUGUCAGACUGUCACGGUCGAGCCAUGCGCCGGCAAAGGGCAAAAUGGACAAAUUUAACCUCUUUGCUGAAUGAAUUCACAGACUGAACCUAGUUCAAAACAAAUUCACCGAGUUGAUCCUUUUGUGUGACGUCCGACGUGUAGGCGCCACACUACAGUGUGUGACGCCUGAGCCUUGGACGUUGCUCAUGCUGUAGUGUGACGCCGAGCACUUAGGCGUCACACAUGCACUUAUGCAUUAUGCAGCCCGCGGCCGAAUCCAGACGGCCGGUCGGCCGGCGGUCAGUCGAAGCGGCGGCCGUGCCAUGCGGAGCUGAGCAGGACGCGGCCGAAGCUGGCGCCCUCCAUGCGCGUCGCCCUGCUCGCCCUCGCCACCUCGCCUACGGCCGCGCCCAUGCCUGCCUCGCCGUUCUCCGCCUCCUCCAUGCCCGCCAUGCACGCUACGGGAAGGAUCGACGGGUGCAGCAGCUCGCGGCGUCUGCUCGCAAGGACGCGCGAGCACCUGCCAUGGCCAUGCCGCACAUGCGCGCGCCGGAAGCGCCAGGCCGGGGGCCCGACUAUUUGGAUGGCAUCCCUGACGACCUCGUGCUGUCAAUCUUCUCCAAGCUUGCCGCGUCCGCGACCUCCCCGUCCGACCUACUCUCCGUCUACCUAACGUACGCCCCCGCGCGCCUCCGCGUUUGGUUCAACUGCUUGAACUCAUGCCGCUUUGUAUGAGUAUGUAUGGAUGGUUGGUUGGCUGAAUUUGUUUGUGUGUGCCUUUAACGUUUUAGGUGCAAGCGGCUCAACGGCCUUGGGCAGCAGGAUAUGGUGUUCGCCAAGGCCUCGCCGGCGUCGCUCGCGGCCUGGUCGGAGCCCGUGCAGCGGUUUCUGAAGCGCUGCGCCGACGCCGGCAACCUCGAGGCCUGCUACAUUCUCAGCAUGGUAAGAGUCGAUGACCAAAUCCAGUUGACUUGAUCGUUUAGCUUGACAUCCGUGCAUGCAUACAUGGUCGGAGUUUCAGGGAUGGAGUGCUGAUGAGCGCCAUGCGUUUUUGCAGAUCCGUUUCUAUUGCCUUGGCAGCCGGAGCGGCGGCGCGGCCCUGCUCGCGAAGGCGGCAGUCGGCGGGCACCCGGCCGCGCUCUACUCGCUUGCUGUAAUCCAGUUCAACGGGAGCGGGGGUGCCAAGUCUGACCGCGACCUGCGCGUCGGGGCUUCCCUGUGGCUGCUGGCGUCGGGCUUUGGGAGGUGGAAUGCAUGUGUGGCGUCUAAGUGCUCGGCGUCACACUGCAGCAUGUGUACGUCCGAGGCUUAGGCGUCACACAGCCAGGAUGGGCCCUGCAGCACCAGCGUGGCCUUUUUGUACAACGCCUAAGGCUUAGGCGUCACACAGUGUAGUAUGGCGCCUACGCGUCGGACGCCACACAAAAGGGUUAGCUCGGUGAAUUUUUUUUGAACUAGGUUCAGUCUGUGAAUUUAUUUAGCAUAGAGGUUAAAUUUGUCAAUUUUGCACCGGCAAAGGAACCUCUCUUUCAUUAAACCUCGAUCCUCACGCCGGAGUGUGGACCGCCCCCGUAGCUGCCCGUCCCUAAAAACAAACUAGCUCUGGCUGCGCACACGUGACCGCACUAUUUUUCUUUAGGAAAGGUUGCUGACUUUUAUUAAUGGAAAAAAUCUCACUUCAUCUUAAAAUAAAUGUCGUGAUUUUAGUUUUAAUAAGUUCAAAUUUAAAGUAAGUCGCGACACAUAUUUUUGGUCAGAGAGAGUAUAAAACAAAACUUAUAGAUAAAUACUAAAUCAAAUCUUAAACUUUAAAUCUUGAAAAUUGAUACUUUAAACUUAUCAAUCCCGGUCUAUUUCAAACCUUAAGAGUAUUUAGCUUGUAUUCGUGGAGACGGGCCAGCCCAUUGGUGCAGUCGCUUGCGCCGCUCAUGCAUAGCUGUAGGUUCGCCUGCUUUAGUCUGUUUUUUUUUCUUUUUCCCUUCUCCCUUUAGCCUUUCUUUGAUUUUUCAUCAGUUUUCUUUGGUUUUUUCUCCUUAGUUAUACUUUAUGUUUUCACUGAUCUCUUUGAAUUUUUUCUCUGUUAUAUUUUUGGUUUUCUUUUGUUUUUUAUUUAUUUUUAAUAUAUUUUCUUUCUUUUUUCUUUGCCGGUUUUAAUUGAUUUUAUUUUUAAAACAUGUCUACUUUUUCUUAGUAUACAAUGUAUAUUUUUAGCACACAUAUGUAAUAUUUUUUUUCAAGAAAUUCCAAAACUUUACUUUAAAAAUGGGACACAUUUUUCAAAAAUCUAAAACAUUUUGCAUAGUAUAGGAAAAAAUGUUGGAAUUCUCAUGAUUUUUGACAAAUGUGAUUUUUUUAAAAAUCAUGAACAGUUAUAUACAUUGCAAAAAUAAUAAAAAUUUCAAAAGAUAUUUUUGAAAAUGCAAAGGAAUUGAAUUUGUGUCAAAAAUAGAUAACAUGAAGAUUUUUUAACUUUAGACCACGAAUAGAAAACAUGCGGAAAAUUCUCAACCUCACGAAUUCUUCUUCUGGUAUAGUGGGCUGACCUAAUUUCUCGUCUGUGAGAGUAGCGGGUUAAAAUAAUGUCUCGAGAUCUCAUUUUUUUAUGAGUUAAAAGAAUGCCAUUACAAAAACACAAGUUGAAAAUAUACCACUACAACAUCCUUGUAUGUGUAUCUAUGCCAUUUUCUCCAAUACCGGGUCAUAUACUCCCCUUAUACGUUUGCACGUACAUAUAUACGAACAUGUGACACACCACACGAAGUAGCACACACAAAAUCGCAACCAUUCUCCAUCCUGAGUCACACACACAAACCCUAGCGUGGGGGGAAUGUCGGUUGGAGGCGCGGUCGACAACGUCGUGAUAGGGCCCAAGGCGGCGGGAGGGGGGCACCACGGUUACUGGUUCGUGCCGCUACGGCUGGAGGAGGGGAUGACAUGACUAGAAUUGUGCGGCGCGGUGGGGGAAGGGGNGGGGGCAGGGGAGGCGGGCGAGAGUCGUUGAGUCCCAACUCCCCGUACGAGAGAGUUCCUCACGCCCAAACCUCAAGCCCCGAACCUUCUCCUGAAAACUUGUCGAAUAUUGACUGGAAUUUUCCAUGGAUGUUAACUCUCAAGACGACAACCAUCGCUAAUGGGAUACAUGGGCUCACAGAAAAGUUCAAUGAGAAAACUACCGUCAAGAAAAUCCUUCAAGUUGUUCGGUCAAAGUCUCCCAAAUUGCACCUGCUAUAGAGCAGUUUGGCAAUUUCAAAAUGAUGACAAUGAAGGAAGUCAUGAGGAGGUUGAAGGUUCAUGAGGCACGACUGCGUGGCUAUGUCCAUGACGACCAAGAUGACAAACAAUUUUUGUUGACAUAUCAAAGCCAAGAGAUCUUGAGUUCAAGAUCCGGGUGGCACAAUUAAAUCAUAGCUCACUUUUGGUCCAUAUUAGACGAGAUGGGGAGUGCUGGCGUAUAAAUGCAUAACACACCAUUUCCAUUAGCUUGAGUUUCUGGGUGAACUGACUAGUGUGCAGUUGUAUAGUGACACACCAUCCGUGUAGCACACACCAUGUCGCAACCGUUCUCCAUCUCGUCUCUCAUACUCGAACCCUAGCAUGAGGGCGACGACAACUCGAGGCGUAGGCGAAGGCGGCGCCCAAGGCGGGGCCAUGGCUGCUAAAAUUCCAUGGAGUCAUUGAGUUGCUCACGUGUGAACCUCAUGCCCCCAACCCUUUUACUCAAAAUUUGGUGAAUGUUGACUAAAGUUUUCCAUCGAUGUUAACUAGAAUAGCCUUUAACCCGUGUUGUUUUUUCAUGAAAUUUGUAGGCUCGAGCCAACGAAUGUUUUUAGCUUAGACCUAGUUCCUCAAGGGUUUCUACCAAAGGAACUGAAUGGUAGGAAAUCAUAUGUGAAGGUGAAAACAAUUAGAUGGAACAUAGACUCAAAGGACUUCAUAAUGGACUAGAAGGGUUGGACACGCUUUGAUGCAUUGUUGAAGUUGUUGUAUUUUUAAAAAUUACCCACUUUGUUUUCAAAUAUAACAUGUAUUACUUUUUGAAAAUCCAGACAUUUUAAGUUUGAUCAAACAUGAUAUCAAAUAUCAAAUCUAUAUGAUUAGAUUCAUCAUGAAAUGAAUUUACAUACUUCUUGUCUAAUAUUGUGGAUGUCAAUAUAUAUUUCUCUCACUUUGGUCAAAAUUAAAAUUUGACUUCAAAAAAAUAAUACCACUUAUAAUUUGGAACUGAUGGAAUAUUUAGUUUAAUGGAUUGGGGAUAUGAUGCAAUGUGUUUUAUUUUUAUUUAUUAAAUCAGGUGAUUUGAUGGAAUUUACUUGGUGUGGUUUUGUGUUAUCCGCUAACCAACAUAUAUUUAUAUGGGAAAGUUUAUGCAUCGAUGGUUGGAUGUACUAUAUUGAUGCUACAAUAUUACAUGGUGGCGCUUCAUUUUUCUAGGUGAUGGGAGGAUGCGCGGGAUUGAUGUAUUUUUAUAGACUGGUUGUUGCCAAUUGAUUUGGAGAAUCGUUGCACCAAUCAAAAUCGUAAACCAAACUCAAUUAAAUAUCUCAAUUGAACGAAAUAACUUCAAAACUGGAGAACAUAAUGAAUUAAAAGAAUAGAAUGGGAGAGCUCCUUGAGAAAAUGUUGACUUGGUCAAAAUCGGAUGACGUGGUUCUAAAUUAAAUACCUCAAUUAAUUAUGAGACCUUAAAAUUUAGGAAGCAUAAUGUAUAUUAAAAAAGAAUUUAAUGAUAAAGCUUCAAGUUGAUGACCCAGACGAAAUCGGGUGAUUCAAUUUCAAUUGAAGACCUUAAUUAAAUGUAGGUUCUUAAAAACAAGGAAGUAUAGUGUUAAAGGAUGUACUCAUGGAUAUGCUCUUGGUGCCUGGCUAUUUAUACAAACCCCGAAGAGAGCACUUCCAAGUAUGUGAGAAGUGAAAUGGAUUCUAACUAGAAUACAAAGUUGCUAAGGGCAUCUCCAAGGCUGACCCCAAAACGGACUGGUAUCCUGCUGCGGGUGCGUAACUGAUACAGAAGACGACCAUCCAACCAUGUCAACAUAUAUUUUAAACCAAAUUUAAUAACCGAAAGAAGUACAUGCAAAGGGAUGAUUUUCGUCUAAACCUGAUGAAUUUUUGACAUAUUUCAACUCAACUAUAACGGAUUACGCUAUCCUAAGCUUGUCUAAAUGAUCGCUGGUUGUGGUGGCGCGUGUUUCCCACAAAAGGUCUUCCACAUGUGUGGCAGCAAGCUCAUCCGACGAGGCGAGGCCUGGUGAUAGGACAUGUAUGUUGCCUAGAAUGGGGGGGGGGGUGAAUAGACACUUUAAAAUAAUUUCGGUUUAGGUUCAAACAAAAGCGGAAUAAAACUAGCGUUCAAUUUCUCAAGUAGAAAACCUAAAUCAACUAUGCUUACCUAUGUGCACCAACAACUUAUACUAACCAAGAUAAAAAAACUAAGUGAUAGCAAGAUAUAUAACAUGAAACAUUAUGGUGGCUAUCACAAAGCAAGUGCAUAAGUAAAGGGCGGGUAAGAGAUAACCAAGGAACACGGAGAGGGCGAUGUAUUUGGAAGUUCACACCUUUGUGGAUGCUAAUCUCCGCUUGGAGCGGUGUGGAGACACAAUGCUCCCCAAAUUGCCACUAGGGCCACUGUAAUCUCCUCAUGUCCUCGCAGAAUGCAAGAUGUUGUGAUUCCACUAAGGGACCCUUGAGGACACUCACCAAAGCCGUACAAAUGGCGACCCUUUGGGGCAGUCAGCGAAAUCGUACAAUUGGAAACCCUUGGGGGCGGUCACCGAAACCCCGUAUAGAUUGCCCGUGGCAAUCUUCACAACUAAAUUGGAGACCCACCAAUGUAGAAAAUCCUAUCCAUGGUGUGGCAAAAAUGACCUUGCUGGCGUGGACACCCGACGCCACCAAUAUGGCCCUAGUAUUAGAAAAUAAUGGUGGCGUUGGAACCGACGCCAAAAGUAUAUUACAUGUUGCUGACGUCCACGUGGCCAAUGCCAGCUAUACAUAUAUAAUACCUUUGUCAUUUGUUGUUGUCCAACGCCAGCAAUUUCUUUUGGAUAAUAAAAAACACUACUUGAGAAACUAAGAGUUUAAACUUCACAAAAUGUACUAAUCAACUAAGUAUACUCAUAAACUUAAUAAGAGUUUAAAACUUAGUACUGAUCAAUAAAACAUACUCAUAAACUUCAGAGUUUAAAACUUCACAAAAGGUACUGAAAUAAUUAAACUACUCUUCAUCAAGGAUUAUCCUGAGCUGGCGAAUCUUCUUUCGAUUGCUCUCUCUAUAAUUUUGGAAGUGAGUGACUUCUAUGUUUAGCUUAGUCCUACCAGUCCUCAGUAGUUUUCUCUCCUCCAUGAAGUCAUCCCUCUCCUCCAUCAAGUCAUCCCUCUCCUCCCUUAGUUUGUUUGACAUGUCGAGAGCAUGAACACCCUUUUGUGAGCGGACUAUCCCGUUCAUUCUUCACACAGAUAUUUUGUUCUUCCAGUUUUUUAUUUUCUAGUGUGAUUCCUCUAGGAGACACUUAUUCCACUUGUUCACAUCGUACACCGAUUCGUUGUUGCUUGAAGAGUUGUCCACAUGUCCUGUUUCAAAUUAUGUACACAAGAAAAUUAAAACUUGUAGUAGCAAUAUAAAUCAACUACUACCUAAACAUUGCAAGAUUGAGACAUAUGUUUCAAAUCCAUCUAAUAUAAAGCAAUCAAAACAUAAAUACUACACAAAACAUAAACAUUGAGAACAUAGGUUCUCAAAUUCAUCUAAUAUAAAGCACUCAAAACAUAUCUAGUACUUGUAUGGAAUUAUCUAGUACUAAGAUCCCGACAAAACAUAAUCACUGAAAACAUAUGUUCCCAAAUCCAUCUAAUAUAAAUUUGUACUAAUAGCAUUCUACACUAAUCGGAUUCUAUACUAAUAAAUUAAUUUCUACUAGUCACAUUCUACACCAAUCAGAUUCUAUACUAAUCAGACUCUACACUAAUAUAUACCUACACUAAUAGGAUUCUACACAAAACAUAUAUGUACACAUUUUUAGGGUUGGGAUCCGCCACGAGAUUGAAGGAGAAGCUCGGGGAGGGGAAGAAGAUGCGGAGGGGAGUGGUAGAUCUCACCUGCUGCCCCGGAGGUAUCGAUGGCCGCAAUGGUCUGGCGGCGGCGACACACGAUGGGGUCAGGAGGUGGCGAUGACGGUAGCGGGCGAGAGAAAGGGGGAUGAGGAGAGAGGAAGGAGAAUAAGGUGAGUGAGUGAAAUUUGACCAAAUUUUUUUUUGACUGGGUACGGGAGGGCUGUUAAAAUGGACUAGUGCUCGCAUGGGCUAAUGGGCCAUGGCAACACAAUCUGUAUCGGAAAAAGAAAAAAAAUAUGCAAUUACCUAUGUGGUGAGAUAUAACCACAGCCAAUGCUAUUUGAAAAAUAUAGUGUUGGCGUCACUUAGAAACGGUGCGGCACAACCAUAAGUUGUGGCUAGCCAUUUCUCCACUAGUGACCCCAACGCUUGCCCAGAGAUUUACACCAUAAUGAUUGAGCUCCAAGACACCACCAACCUUCUAGUGCACUAAAGCACCCAAGAGGCAAAAGCUCCCGGGUUCCCAUAUACCGAAGAGUAAUAAGCUUCUCCACUUUUUAGUUGCACAUAUCACCAUGAAGAACUCAGACCUAUGCAACUAAUGCAAUGGCACUAACAGACGAAGUGGUAAAUUCCAUCACUACCGAAUCAGACCACAAAAACAAAAGCUAUGGAGGAAUAUGAGAGGAAGAACAAGGAGAACACAAAGAACUACAAGACCUAGAUCCAAGGGGUUCGCCUCAUAUAGAGGAGAAAGUGAUUGAUGGAAAUGUGGGCCUAGAUGUCCUCUAUAUUUUCCCUUAAGAAGGAGCAAUAAUCAUUGGAGGGUUGAGAGAUAGCAAGCUCAAAGAAGGUCAACAAUGGGGGAAAACAUGAGCUCAAAGGAUAAUAACCAUUGGGGAGGAAGACCCCCUUAUAUAGGUGGGGACAAAUCCAACCGUUAUGCCUCAGUUUGCAGUAAAGCGGUACUACGGCUCCUAGGAGUGGUACUGCCACUUAAUGCGGUUGUUUCAGGUGUAGUAGAGUGAGCAUGUGAAGUGCGGGAACGGUACUCCUGUCGGAGCUGUACUUCCGUCCCCCAUCAGCGGUACUAGUGCUUAUGUGACCCAGUAUAGAGAAAUAAAGGUAUUGAGAGGUGCCGAAGCAGCACUACCAGUUAACUAUCGCUUUGUACUGUGAAAGCCGCGAAGGGCAACACAAGCCUCAAAUAAGGAGUAGUAGCACCGGUACUAGAAUGUGGUAGUACCGCGUGGGCAGUACUAAUACUUGUGAUCUGCAUUGGGUUUUUCCCAAAGGGGAAGGGAUGAUGCAGCACAUUAUAGAUAAGUAUUUCCCUCAGUGAGAACCAAGGUUAUCGAACCAAUAGGAGAACCGCACAAUUUCCCGUCUUCAGUGCCUUCAAACAAAAGGUCAUACACUUGCACCCAACACGGGAAAGCGGGUUGUCAAUCCCCUUGAACUUGUUAUUUCCAACACGGGAGGGGACGAGGAGGCCGACUCCCUAGGAGGUCUCCUAGGGUCAGGCGACGACCACCAAGAGGUGCCUUGGCCCUCAAGGAAGGAGGGGCGGCGGCCACCUCUGGGCCUGCCCAGCCCCUUGGCCGCAUGGGCCUUAGGUGGAAGGGGCGGCCAGCCCACGAGGGGCUAGUGCACCAUCUCUCACAGCCCAUGGGGCCCUCCUGGGCAGGUGGACCCUCCCGGUGGACCCCGAUAACACCUUUUGGAACCUCCUUCACAAAACCAGUAACUUUCAAAACUCUUUAGGAACUCGAAUACGAACUACCUAUAUAUCAAUCUAUAACUCUGAACCAUUCUGAAGCUCCUCGUCAUGUCCGGGAUCUCAUCUGGAACUCCAAACAACUUUCGGUAAGUAACACAAUAACUCAACUAUAUCUAUAUGAUCAUUGAAUGCUAAGCGCGUGGACCCUACAGGUUUCAGAACUAUGUAGACAUGACUGAUACACCUCUAUGGUCAAUAACCAAUAGCGGGAUCUGGAUUCCCAUAUUGCUUCCUACAUGUUCUACUAAGAUCUAUAUCAUUCGAACCACGAUGUCAAGGAUUCAGCUAAUCAUGUCCAUCGGUAUGUUACUUUCUCGAGAUUCAAUCAUCGCUAUCUCCAUACCUAGUUCAAUCUCGUUAUCGGCGAGUCUCUUUACUCGUUCUAUAAUACAAGAUCCCGUGACUAACUCCUUAGUCUCUCCCUCAUACGGGGUGACAAAUCCCAGUCUUGAUCCAUGCCAACUCAAAAGACACACUCAGAGAUACCUGUAGUGCAUCUUUAUAAUCACCCAGUUACGUUGUGAGGUUUUAUACACACAAGGCAUUCCUCAGUGUCAGGGUGUUGCAUGAUCAAAGGAACAGAUACAUUGACAUGGAAAAAGGAAGAGCAGUAAACUUGAUACGAUCAAAUGCUAUUCUUACGGUUUGGGUCUUGUCCAUCACAUCUCCUAAUGAUGCGAUCCCGUUAUCAAAUAACAAGUCAUGUCUUUGGCUAGGAAACCUUAACCAUCUUUGAUCAAUGAGCUAAUCUAGUAGAGGCUUACCAGGGACACUUUGUUGUCUAUGUAUCCACACAUGUAUUUGAGUUUCCAAUCAAUACAAUCAUAGCAUGGAUAAUAAACGAUUAUCACAAAAAAGGAAAUAUAAUAAUAUCAACUUUAUAAUUGCCUCUAGGGCAUAUUUCCAACAGUCUCCCACUUGCACUAGAGUGAAUAAUAUAGUUUUACAUGUUAAUGAAUCUAACACCAAUAGAGUUCUAGCGCUGAUCAUGUUUUGCUCACUGAAGAGGUUUAGUCAACAGAUCUACUACAUUAAGAUCUGCAUGUAUAUUGCAAAUGUUUAUGUCGUCCUCCUUGAUAUAAUCUACGAUGGAAUUGAAACGACGCUUUAUGUGUCUGGUAAUUUUGUGAAAGCUAGGUUCCUUGGCUAGAGCAAUGGCACGAGUGUUGUCACAAAAUAGGGUCAUUGCAUCUAGUGCAGUCGGCACAACUCCAAGAUCCGUCAUGAACUGCUUUAUCCACAUAGCUUCCUUCACUGCUUUCGAAGCAACUAUAUAAUCCACUUCACAUGUAGAAUAAGCUACCAUGCUUUGCUUGGAACUGCACCAGCUUACAGCUGCAUCAUUCAGAAUAAUACAUAUCUGGAUUGAGACUUAGAGUCAUCCGGAUCAGUGCCAAAGCUAGCAUCAAUGUAACCCUUUACGACGAGCUCUUGAUCACCUCUAUAAACGAGAAACAUUUCCUUAGUCCUUUUGAGGUACUUAAGGAUAUUCUUGACCGCUGUCCAGUGUUCCACUCCUGGAUCACUUUGAAACCUUCUAGCCAUACUUAUGGCAAGGCUGACAUCUGGUCUUGUGCACAACAUCGCAUACAUGAUAGAGCCUAUGGCCGAGGCAUAUGGGAUGACACUCAUAUUCUCUCUAUCCUCUGUAGUCGUUGGGCAUUGAGUCUUUACUCAACUUCACACCUUGCAGGACAGGCAAGAACCCCUUCUUGGACUGAUACUUUUUGAACUUCUUCAAAACCAUAUAAGCCUAUGUGCUUUGUGCCUCGAGCUAUCAUUGAUGCCCAAUAUGUAAGCAACUUCUCCCAGAUCUUUCAUUGAAAAACUCUUGUUCAAAUAUAUCUUCAUGCUUUCCAAAAGUUCUAUAUUAUUUCCAAUUAGCAAUAUGUCAUCCACAUAUAAUAUCAAAAACACUAGAGAGCUCCCAAUCACUUUCUUGCAAAUACAAGCUUCUCCAUAAACUUGUAUAAACCAAACGCUUUGACCACCUCAUCGAAGCGAAGAUUCCAACUCCGAGAUGCUUGCACCAGUACAUAAAUGGACCGCUAGAGCUUGCAUACUUUGUCAGCAUUCUGUGGAUCGACAAAACCUUUCGGUUGCACAUAUACAACUCUUCCUUAAGGAAACCAUUAAGGAACACUAUUUUGACAUGCUUCUACGAGAUUUCAUUAUCGAAAAAUCCAGUUGUUGCUAAUAUGAUUCUGUCAGACUAAAGCAUCGCUACGGGUGAGCAAGUAUCAUCGUAGUCAACUCCUUGAACUUGUGAAAACCCCUUUGCAACAAUUCGAGCUUUAUAGACGGUGACAUUACCGUGUGUGUGUGUCAUCCUCUUAAAGAUCCAUUUGUUCUGAAUAGACUUUUGACCCUCAGGUAAUACUUCCAAAGUCCACACUUAAUUUUCAUACAUGGAUCCUAUCUCUAAUUUCAUGGCCUCUAGCCAUUUGUUGGAAUACGGGAACACCAUCGCUUCUCCAUAGCUCGUAGGUUCAUUGGUGUCCAACAACAUGACCUUCAAGACAGGAAUACAGUACCACUCAGGAGUAGUACGUGUCCUUGUCGACCUACGACGUUCGGUAGUAACUUGAUCUGAAGCUUCAUGAUCACCAUCACAAGCUUCCUCUUCAACUCGUGUAGUUGCCACAGGAACAUCGCCCCGCGCCCUGCUGCUCUUUGGUUGAAGUGACGGUUUUCGUCAUCUUGCCCAUGAGGCAUGGUUCACGUGUAUCAAGUGACUCUAAAAGUCCAUCAACAUGGAGCUUAUUCAUCGAUUUUACACCAAUAUGACCUAAGUGCCAGUGCCACAAUAAAGUGGUGCUAUCAUUAUUAACUCUGCAUCUUUUGGCAUCAAUGUUAUAGAUAUGUGUAUCAUCACUAUAUAGAUUCAACAAGAAUAAACCAUUCACAUUGGGUACAUGACCAUAAAACAUAUUACUCAUAUAAACAAAACAACCAUUAUUCACUAAUUUAAAUGAGUAACCGUCUCACAUUAAACGAGAUCCACAUAUAAUGUUCAUGCUCAACGCAGGCACCAAAUAACAAUUAUUUAGGUUCAUAACUAAUCCCAAUGGUAAUCGCAGAGCGAGCAUGCUGACGACGCUCACAUCAACCUUGGAACCAUUUCCCACACGCAUCGUCACUUCAUCCUUUGCCAGCCUCCACUUAUUCUGUAGUUCCUUCUUC